CAGUGUUCUCUAGGGUGGAUGGGUCAGCUGAGAUGAGGUGGGAGGACAGGAAAACAAAAGGGAGAUUAUGUACCUGGGCAGCUCGGCACAAGGGCCUUCAGCAGCGGGGCUGGGAGUGCCAGGCAGAAGGCAGAGCUCUCCACGUGCACUUGCUCUUUCAAACCCUAUCAUGAGGACCUCCCAGAGACAAAUGGUAGUAUCCUUACUUAGAGGUGAGGGACUAGGCUCAGAGACUCAGUAACUUGCUUAAGGCCACAAAGCUUUUACUUCAUAAUUCCAGGAUGUCAAGGAGCUUUAUCCAACUCCAAGAUAACUCUUCAACCUCACAGCUCAUUAAGUUGCAGAGCUGUUCUCUGUAAAUCUCUGAACUCUGGGAAAGACAGAUCUCCAAUGCGUCUUCCCACAGUAGAAAUCUUACCUAAGACAAGACCUCCUCUCAUGACUGUACUCUCAUGAAACAAGAGCUCCAGCAGCUCCUUACUCCACCUUGGCCUUGAUAUGUUCCAGCUGUGUCACCUCUCCCACCUUCCCUGUCACCCCACAGAGCCCCCGGUCACGCAACACUGGAGUCCUCCUGCCUGAGACUCUGGUGCCUCGUCCUUCCAUCCUCAGUAGCCCACAUGUGAGGACUUGCCUGCUAUUCAUGCAUCGCAGCACUCUGUCCCUACAUCCAACACCCCUCACCACCAAUGUCAGACCAAGACUUUUCAUCAGCUGCCAGUAAAUGUUCCUGGCCUAAGAAAAGAGCGGCUAGAUUCCCUGGAAGGAACCAGGGGAAAUAGCCAUCAUAAUCUCCCAGGAACCCUGGCCUCAGUGCUGGGCAGCCUCCCAACACCAGUGGUCUCACAGGCAGUGGGUGUCCUGCUGACAUUUUCUACAGAACAUCCCCAAGUAAGAGGCUACUUUGGCUUACAGGACCAGAAGGGUACCACUGUUCACAGUAUCAAACCUACGAGACAUGUAGAUCUGGGAAGGGGAUUCUGUGGAGAAAUAGAUGAAGGACUGUGAAGAAGAAAAGUAAUGGCCACCAAUCACAUAUAAAACUUUGAUUCCAUGUUUUCACGAUCACAAUGCAGGCGAAGUGGGUAUGAGAGGGCAGAACGCCAAGAUAUUUUCAUAUUGUUCUGAGAGUUCCUGACCCUCUUAUGUGUAGUUCUGGACCCUUUGGUAUUGAGAAAAGAAAGGAUUCUCAGUCACAGACUAUCUUUAAAAACUCAGAGGAAGCCACAGUCCUGAAAGUUGACACACCUUGUGACCUCACACACAGGCCAGCCAGAAUUUAAAGGGGCACAUGGGGAGGUAAGUUCAGAAGCAGUCUCAAAGUUAUGUACAAACAUGUCAUGUUCAAAUCUUGCUGACAGAAGAAACUGGCAACAGGAAACAUCAAAUGAUAUAUACUCCUUUCAGUGAUGAUGGAAGUUGUAAUAACAAACAGGAAAUGAAUGAGGGCUAAGACUGCUUCCCUGCCAACUAGAAGCUAAGCAGCUAGUUCAGUAACAUUCCAUCACUUGCACAAGUUGGUUGAGACCAAGCCUCAUUCAGAGGUUGGCUAUUAUACUCACUUCCUCCCUGCUCCAUGUUGUAAUAGACAAAGAAGUAAGAACAGUAGGUUCCAUAGCAAAAUGAGCACAAGUUUCUCACCUCUCCUUCCAAAGCAAAGGGCAGAGACCCAACCGGGAGGCAGUGACAUCUCCAUCCAAAUCCAACCAUUCCAAAGAGCCAUUGCCACCGACAACCUCUCCGACCUGGGAACGAGGAAUGAGGGGGGUAAGGCUGCUAUCACCACCCCCACCCCAAGAGAACCAGAUAAAGCUCAAACUUGUCCCUUUGAAAGGAGCAGGGUGGCUGGCAGUCACUUUGAAAACACAGCACACUAACCUGCCUUCUCUGCCGCAGGACAGCGGCCUCUGCUGGGUGGUUGAAUCGGAACUUCUGUGCUUUCCCCAGCGUUAUGACUGCUCCUGUGGCAGAGACAGGGGAGAAUGAACCAACAGCUCACGUUCUCCGUAUGUAUUAUGUGCAGGGUGCCCUUCUGAGAGACAAAGUCCUGCCCCCAACAAGCUUAUAACUUAGAUGAGAAAAUUGAUGUCCAGAGACUUUCCCAAGGACACAGAGCUAGCAAACACAGGCAGAAAAGUUAUCCUGGGAAUGGAAGAACCUGAGGAAGCCCAGGAAAAGGACCUGGAUUCAGCUAAGUACUUUUCAUAAACAGAGAACGUGAGAAAAAACAAAGUAUGCCAAGUUUAGGUACAAGUGUUUUAUGUACCCUAGAAAUGUCAUUUUUAACAUUAUAAUCAUUGAGUUGAAGUCUGCAAAGAGUGAAACUACCAGGUACUGCGAAGAGCUGGGUUGGAUUAGGACCCAGCAGAGGUGAGCAGCAGUGCAUUGUGGCUUACAGUUUAGCCAGCCUGGCUCAGGUAACUGGAAGUACCCCUUCUGGCUGGCUUUCAUCACCUACCCCUACAAAGCCUAAGGUCAGAAGGCCAGCAAGUGGCAGAUUCGAGUCCAGGUCUGCCAGAAUGUAUAACGGAGUGAUUUUGACUCUGUCCUUCAUCUCUUAUAUACACAGGGGUGGUAUUUUCUGAACCAAAAAUCAGAACAUAUAUUUAAACACAGAAUUUUUGAGAGAUAUCUGGAUGCGUGAUGUAGUCCUAAAGUUUAGUCUGGUAACAAAAUAUUGACAUAGCCAGGAUACUUUAUAAUGGAUAAGGAUGAGGCGACAGAAUACCAGGAAUUGGGAUAUUUGGUUGUGGUAUCUAAAUCGAACCUGUCACCAAACAAUGCCUGCCAUUUCUUCCUCACAAAUGUCUCCAGGAAUCACCAUGUAACCUAACCUCCCCACAUGUCUUGUCCUCACGUUCACAGGGUCACAAAAUCAGUCUCUUUCCUGGUUGGUCUGCUUACAGUCUUCCCUCUCUUCAAUUAGUCCUACAUACAACUGUCAUAUUAAAUGUCACCAAUAGACUCCAUUAUUAUGUCGCCCAACCUGGUUCAAGAAGCCAUGACUAAUCCUGUGUAUGUCAAAUUCAAACCUCCUAAACUGGCCCUAACAUUACCUCCACUACUCUCUUCCAUGAGCACCUAUUCUCGCCAGCUCAGUCUUCCUCACACUCUGUGCUUCCACGUGGCCUCCCACACCAGUUCAUUCUUUUGGUUCCAUGCCUUUUCUUAUGUUAUCCCACCCUCACCCAAAAUGUCAUACCCCUUUCUCCCUAUCUAACACAAUCCACUGAUCUUUCAAGGUCUAGUUCAACUUCUCUAGCUUCCAGCGUUGUGAUGCCUGCACUGAAAAUUCCAAGCCAUAUUGAUUUCUUCCUUCCCUAAGCUCUUUUCAUAUAACUCAUAUAGUU